rnacentral:rRNA from 1 species
UACGUAGGGUGCGAGCGUUAAUCGGAAUUACUGGGCGUAAAGCGUGCGCAGGCGGUUCUGAAAGUCAGCUGUGAAAGCCCCGGGCUUAACCUGGGAAUUGCGGUUGAAACUACAGGGCUAGAAUCUGGCAGAGGGGGGGUGGAAUUCCACGUGUAGCAGUGAAAUGCGUAGAGAUGUGGAGGAACACCGAUGGCGAAGGCAGCCCCCCUGGGCUAACACUGACGCUCAUGCACGAAAGCGUGGGGAGCAAACAGG